AUAUCGUAUCUUAGAGAAUUUUCAGAAGAGCAGUGAGGUAAAGAGCUGGGGAGGACAUGUUAGUCACUUCUGGGAAAAAAGAGAGAGACUGAAUGUCACACUACAUGAUGGUCCAUAUUUACAUUUAACUGAUGAUGUCAGAAGUGCCAAGUGUCACUCCAUCUCUUCUCCAUUGUCAAAAUACAAUCCUGGACUGAUUUAUUAUUCAUAAUUUUUACCAUGGAUGUUAUAGACUAUAAGUCUACUACAUAUAUAAUUUUACUAUAGCACUAUAAUUGCAUUACAGAC